rnacentral:rRNA from 1 species
GGCGAACGCUGGCGGCGUGCUUAACACAUGCAAGUCGAACGGAAAGGCCCUGCUUUUGUGGGGUGCUCGAGUGGCGAACGGGUGAGUAACACGUGAGUAACCUGCCCUUGACUUUGGGAUAACUUCAGGAAACUGGGGCUAAUACCGUAUAGGAGCUCCUGCUGCAUGGUGGGGGUUGGAAAGUUUCGGCGGUUGGGGAUGGACUCGCGGCUUAUCAGCUUGUUGGUGGGGUAGUGGCUUACCAAGGCUUUGACGGGUAGCCGGCCUGAGAGGGUGACCGGCCACAUUGGGACUGAGAUACGGCCCAGACUCCUACGGGAGGCAGCAGUGGGGAAUAUUGCACAAUGGGCGGAAGCCUGAUGCAGCAACGCCGCGUGCGGGAUGACGGCCUUCGGGUUGUAAACCGCUUUCGCCUGUGACGAAGCGUGAGUGACGGUAAUGGGUAAAGAAGCACCGGCUAACUACGUG